rnacentral:rRNA from 1 species
CGGGACGGGUGAGUAAUGUCUGGGAAACUGCCUGAUGGAGGGGGAUAACUACUGGAAACGGUAGCUAAUACCGCAUAACGUCGCAAGACCAAAGAGGGGGACCUUCGGGCCUCUUGCCAUCGGAUGUGCCCAGAUGGGAUUAGCUAAUAGGUGGGGUAACGGCUCACCUAGGCGACGAUCCCUAGCUGGUCUGAGAGGAUGGCCAGCCACACUGGAACUGAGACACGGUCCAG